rnacentral:rRNA from 1 species
UACGAGGGGUGCAAGCGUUGCUCGGAAUUAUUGGGCGUAAAGGGUAGGUAGGUGGUCUGAUUUGUCUGGGGUGAAAGCCUUGAGCUUAACUCAAGAAGUGCCCCAGAAACGGUCAGACUCGAGUCCUGGAGAGGGUCGUGGAAUUCCCGGUGUAGCGGUGAAAUGCGUAGAUAUCUGGAGGAACACCGGUGGCGAAGGCGGCAUCCUGGACCAAUUCUGACACUGAGGAGCGAAAGCUAGGGGAGCGAACGGG